CGGAUUGUAGUCUGCAACCCGACUACAUGAAGCCGGAAUCGCUAGUAAUCGCGGAUCAGAAUGCCGCGGUGAAUACGUUCCCGGGUCUUGUACACACCGCCCGUCACACCAUGGGAGUCGGAAAUGCCCGAAGUCUGUGACCCAACCGCAAGGAGGGAGCAGCCGAAGGCAGGUCGGAUGACUGGGGUGAAGUCGUAACAAGGUAGC
rnacentral:rRNA from 1 species